UACGUAGGGCGCAAGCGUUGUCCGGAAUUAUUGGGCGUAAAGAGCUCGUAGGCGGCCUGUUGCGUCCGCUGUGAAAUCCCGGGGCUCAACCCCGGGCGUGCAGUGGAUACGGGCUGGCUGGAGGCAGGCAGGGGAGAACGGAAGUUCCUGGUGUAGCGGUGAAAUGCGCAGAUAUCAGGAGGAACACCGGUGGCGAAGGCGGUUCUCUGGGCCUGUACUGACGCUGAGGAGCGAAAGCGUGGGGAGCGAACAGG
rnacentral:rRNA from 1 species